rnacentral:lncRNA from 1 species
AUGGCCUCGGCCGCCCGCGCUCGCGCCCCCCGCCCCCGCCGCAGCCGCCGGCCCUCCGCCGCCCCCCCGCUGCCGUCGCGCUGUCUCUCCGCGCCGCUCCCCGCCCCGCGCUCCGCUCCCCGCCCCGCGCUCCGCUCCCCGCUCCCCGCUCCCCGCUCCCCGCCCCGGCCCCGGGAAGCCCUCGGCCGGCCGGCCGGCCCGGGACCCGCCGCCGCCCGCCGGGCUGCCCCCGGGGUCUCCGUGCGUCUGUCCGUCCGCCCCUCGGUCCCCGAGCCCGCCUCCCGUGUCUCCCGGCGGGGGCUCGGUCUGCUGCCCGCCGCCCUCCCAGAGCCUCCCCUGCCUCCCUCCGCCUCUGCCCUGUCUCGGUCUCCCCUGCGCGUCUCUCUCUGUCCUCCUCCCGGGCGCCGUCUGUCCUUCUGCGUGUCUCUCCCUCCCUCCCACUCUCGGUGCGGCCCCCGCUGUCUCGGACCCAGGCCCGCGCCUCCGCCGCGUCCCCGGCUCGCCCGGGAGCCCGAGCUCCCGCCGCCCGCGGCGCGCCGAGAACUCCCAACUCGCGGCACGCCGCCCCGCUUUGCGAGACUUUCGCCCCUCCUCACACGUGACCCGCGCCCCAGUGCGGAGGCCGCGCGCCCCCCCCCCCCCCCGGCCCCCGAGCCCCGGGCCCCGGGCGGCCCGCGGGGCCCGGCCCGGCUCCUUCCCCGCGGCGCAGCGGGGCUUCAAACCCCCUGGGCCCGCCGGCCGCGCGGGGCAGGGCUGGGGGCCGAGGGGCCGUGGGGCCCCGCUCCUGCCGCGGAUCCUGCCCGGGUUUUCCUCCUCCCUCCGGGAGCGCUCCUCCCAGAACCCAUUCCGAGAAUCCGCUCCGGGUUUUGCAACCCCCGGGGGCAGGCAGGCAGCCAGGACUGUGUUCCUUCACAUGAAUCUUUGAUGCGCAUGAACUUAGGCAAUCUGAAUCCUCGGUCAGUGGCAGGUAAGUGCCUGGUCACUGUCACAACUUUCCGUGGAAAUUGGGAGGGUGCAGGAGAAGCAAAUGACCCGUGGUCUCUUCACCUAGCCAGAGGUCUGCCUGCUGGCUGCCCUGGAAAUGUGGGGUGCAGGGCAAGGAGGGAGGGGCAAAGGGGGCGGGGAAUGGAGACUGAGGGGUCUGUAGACCUAGAGCCUCUGCUCCUGUGGGGUCAGUCCUGA